CUGUCUUGAUGCCAACAGGCAUUUGUUGUUGUUGUUGUGUUCAUAAUGACCUCUGUCUAAAAAUUCUGUAGGCUUCCAGGAAGGGACACAGUGACUGUGAUAAAAUGGACUUCUCCUCCCUGCCCCCUCUGGUUACCAUGGCAACUGUGAAUGACUGAUUUCCUGGUUGCCAUGUAAAUGCCGUGGGAUCCCAGCCACUGCACCACACAAAGACGUCAGUAAGAAUAGUGAGAAAACAAAAAUCAUAUCUAAAAAGACAAAGGAUUUCAUCUCAAGCCUUUCUCUCACACAAAGCAGAGGAAAGGAAUCAAUUGUAAUAAGAAAUGGUACUCUUCCUGUGCCAUAAAAAAGCAUGAAAUCAUUUCUGAAUGCCUGUCUUAUGGAAGGUUGGAGCUGCAAUGAGCUGACGCAUGCCAAGUUUUACAAAUGCCAGAGAGUUGACGCUGAGGGGGUGCUCCAGGGUACAAGGUGGAUAGAUCCCGGCCCGGGAGAUGCGAAGCGACUGAAGGAUUAUGGGACAGAAUGAAGUACCAUUAAGGGAGCUUGCUGCCCAGAGGAAUGGAGAGUCAACUGCAACAAAGCUGGUAGAAGCCACUUGAAGUAUAAAACAGAUCCAUGUUUGUACUUCACCAGCUUGAGUGUCUUUAGACUGGCUGAGUAGCUGGAACAGCCCACGUAAACCCUACUAAACACUGAUGGGGGAAAUUGAGAAGAGAAAGCAUAGGGAGGAGAUGAAUUUAUUUUGCCUGGGCUUCCAGGAGAGUCUUUAGAACAGAAAUAGCAAUUGAGACAGUGGCUGAGGGCUGAGUAGGAGAAAGGGGACUCUUCAGGCUGAGGUAUCUGCCUGUUCAGAAGUGUGAUGUGGGACAGAGCCAUGAGGUCUAGUGGGAACAAAUGGCCAGGCUGUGUUGGUGGAG
rnacentral:lncRNA from 1 species